rnacentral:rRNA from 1 species
UGGCCUCAAAUCAGGUAAGAUUACCCGCUGAACUUAA